rnacentral:rRNA from 1 species
CACGGAUAACAUACCGAAAGGUAUGCUAAUACGGGAUAAUAUAUUUGAGAGGCAUCUCUUAAAUAUCAAAGGUGAGCCAGUACAGGAUGGACCCGCGUCUGAUUAGCUAGUUGGUAAGGUAACGGCUUACCAAGGCGACGAUCAGUAGCCGACCUGAGAGGGUGAUCGGCCACAUUGGAACUGAGACACGGUCCAAACUCCUACGGGAGGCAGCAGUGGGGAAUAUUGCACAAUGGGCGAAAGCCUGAUGCAGCAACGCCGCGUGAGUGAUGAAGGCCUUCGGGUCGUAAAACUCUGUCCUCAAGGAAGAUAAUGACGGUACUUGAGGAGGAAGCCCCGGCUAACUACGUGCCAGCAGCCGCGGUAAUACGUAGGGGGCUAGCGUUAUCCGGAUUUACUGGGCGUAAAGGGUGCGUAGGCGGUCUUUCAAGUCAGGAGUGAAAGGCUACGGCUCAACCGUAGUAAGCUCUUGAAACUGGGAGACUUGAGUGCAGGAGAGGAGAGUGGAAUUCCUAGUGUAGCGGUGAAAUGCGUAGAUAUUAGGAGGAACACCAGUUGCGAAGGCGGCUCUCUGGACUGUAACUGACGCUGAGGCACGAAAGCGCGGGGAGCAAACAGGAUUAGAUACCCUGGUAGUCCACGCUGUAAACGAUGAGUACUAGGUGUCGGGGGUUACCCCCCUCGGUGCCGCAGCUAACG